rnacentral:sRNA from 1 species
GGAUAGGAGGGCAAUCUGACUGGAACAGCUCUCCUCACAUUAGUCACCAGAGUGGAUUUGGCUGAACUGACUGACAGAGGGUGACUCUUCCCUCCCUCACAGUCAAUAUAUACCUCUCCCAAAGCUCUUCACUUUGUGAGCAGAUAGGAGUGGGCCAUUCUUUCAUCAAGGCUAGAGCAGCCUAAAAUUUGCUGUUUCCCUUACCAAUCUGUACUCUAUUUGUACUACUCAGGUGCAUUCAAAGAGCAUUGGGAAUUU